rnacentral:lncRNA from 1 species
CCACCAGCCUGUCCCACCAGCACUCUUCCUCCUGACUCGCCUCGGGUCAGCCUGGUGUCCACAGCUGCAGCCUGUGAGUGCUUUCAGGGCAGCUGAGGCCUUGAUCCAGCCUCAGCUGGCCUAUCCCUCCAGACCACGGGGCUCCCACAGGCAUUCCCAAAGUCCUCAGAGCCCAGUCAGCAGUCCCCAUCUUCAGCAAUUCCAGUAGUCCCUGUGAAGUGGGUCAGACCUCGCCCCAGCCACAAAGAGCUCAUGAGGAUUUCGGUUCCCUCAAAGUGGGAUCAAGCGUUGGUGGGGACACGAGACAGAGAAGGGAACGAAGCCUGGGAAGACGCAUCCUGGCACAGUUUUACCGGGGAUGGCUUCAGAGCUACUCCGCCUGCCUACGAACAGCAGUGGGCUGCUGUGUCCCCAGCAGGUGUGGCCUGCGAGCAGCUUGGCAGCCAGAGAUGGCCUCAGGGAAAGAAAGCCAGAUGCCCCCUGACACCAAUUCUCAAGGCAGGCGCAAGUCAACUUCAGCUCAGCCUGGUGGGCUGCGGCUGAGCGACGGUCCUGAAUGGCGGCUCAGCGAUCAAUAUCAUUGUGUGACUGCGAGAGGAAGAAAGAGUUCAUCCUGACAUGCUCAUUCUGCCGACCGCCACCGAGCACCUCCUGGGCACCUCGCCCCAGCUGGCUAGUGGCCUCUAAACCAAGCUGCGUCAGUCAGGAAGACACCUAAGCUAUUGUAACAAAGCACCCCCAAAUACAGUGGCUAAAACAAGACAGAACAUUUGUCUCCCUCCUGCAACAGUCCAGCCAGCGCAGGCCUCGAGGGCAGCUCUGCUCCUUGGGGACACUCAGGGGCCCAGGCUCUUUGGCCUGUGGCUCUGCCCUCACCCGGGGGUGGGUGUCCUCAUCUGCAAGACUGAGGUGCAGCGGCACGUACUGCAUCCCAGCCCAGGAGGGGCAAAGGCAGUCAUGGGCUGACAGCUUCCUAUGGAGAACACAAGGAGACACUGCCCACACCACUUCUCAAAUUCCAGGGCUGAGGAUUUUGUCUUGUGGUCCCCCUUGGCUGCAAGAGAGGCUGGGACGUGCCAUCCACUCCUGGCUGGCCAUGUGCCCAGCAUCUGGAGGGACAACCUUCCUUUGGCGGCAAGAAUGAAGCCGACCCAAUGCGUCUCAGUGUGGGCUCCCCUGCAGCCGAGAGUGUGCACUUCCUGGAGCUGCUGUAACUAAUUACCACCAGCCUGGGUUAAAGUCACAUCCCUGGGCCAAAACCAAGGAGCCAGCAGGGCCACGCUUGCCCCAGAGGCUAUGGUGGAGCCUUCCUCACCUCCGCCGGAAGCUGGUGGCUGCCUCC